rnacentral:lncRNA from 1 species
CCGGUUGUCAUUCUGGCCUUGCAGCCCAUUAUCCCAAUCAUGUCCACUUUCCUUCUGUCGCUUUGGUGCUGCCAUCUGGCCCCCACUGUUUUGGGUUCCUAUCAGUCCAGAUAAGGUUAAGGAGCCCAGUCCCAUAACAGCAUCUCUUCACUGUGACCCAUGAUGGAUAACUACCACUGAGCUUCUUGGAGAUGUCAAUGGUACCCUCACCACUGACCUUCUUACUGCCUUGGAGAUGGAUGCAUCCACUGGGCUCUUACAAAGAACACAGUCAGAUGGUGAGUUCUCAGCUCCUGGCAGUUGACAAAGAUGGUUCACAGCUGUGCCUUAAGAGAGAUGCUGUGGCCAACUGACCUGAACUGGUUCUGACUGGA